rnacentral:lncRNA from 1 species
UGUUAAUCAUGACAUAUUGUUUUUAUUUAAUUCAUUAAACUUUUCCAUUUAAACAGGAACAUUUUUAUUUCAUCUAUUCUUUAUUUUUAUUUUCUGUAAAACCUCAAACUCAACUGUAGUUCAGUUCAACUGCUGCCUGGCCCCGGCGCUGCUCAUUGGCUGAGCUCUGCUAUGGUCCCGCCCCACUGUAGACGUCACUUUCUCCGAUUGGACAACCUCGGCGCGACGUCACUACAGCGCUCUCUCUGAUUGGCUCUGAGAAAAUGGCGGGGGAAGAAGCUGCGCGUUCAAACACAUCAACACUGAGACUUCCUGGUCCGUGAACGCAGCAGCCGCCGACAACUUUCAGCUUUUGAGUCCGAAAAACGGGAUUAUUGUCCGGGGUGAGCUCCCUCUGUGUGCCGGGGAGAAGCGGACAUUGUCAGGAUGGAUGUUUGUCAACGUAAUGGCGACGUCGCGGAAGUUUCCGACAAACUGGAGAAGUCUUUGUCCAUGGAUACAGAUGACAAGAUGGAAGCAUACCACAGGUAAUACAACUAAUUACAGCCACAAAAUGCCUGUUUUAGUUGGUAGCCCUGUAAUUAAGGUCCCAUCCAAACAUAUUGUAUUUUAAGUGAUUUCUUUGAGCCCGUUUACGGCUGAUAUUAACAUUCUUCUUGGAUGAUCACAAUUCGACAGCUUUCAGUACAUCAGUUUACUGCUGGUGUUAGAACAAGUCUCCAGUGAGCUCCUGUGAUCAGAUCUCACAUCUCUAAAUGCCAAUAAACACUUUUAUAGCACCGUACCUUCUGCUGUCACUCACUGUCCUUUGUUCAGUUCACAUGACACACUAAACUCUUGAUAUCCCGUCACUUUGUGCAUUAAUUAACGUUCCUGAGCAUUUUUACUGCUGUUUCUGCAUCACGUCGAAACAGGUCAAUACAUCUGAUAAAUCAUCUUCAUCAACUUCAUCAUCAGUAAAACAAUGUACACAUUUAAAUGUUAUAAAUGAAACUGACAGUAGUAAUUUGGAUGUACACUUUCUGUGUUAUAUCUGUGACAGCAGCUGAGCGGAAACUAUCAUUCAAUUCAACCAAUUCAUCAUUUAUGUAAUUAUUCAAGUAAAAAAGUACCAAUUCAGAACCUGCCCUUCACCACAGCACCUUCAA